UAAUCGGGUGAGGGGUAUGUGAUAAUCUUCCCUCCGGAGGGGGAUGACCGUUAGAAACGGUCAUUAAUCAGCCAAAAGCCUAUGGGUGUAAUGAUUUUCGCGUUAGGAAGGCCUUUCGUCUGAUUAGUUAGUAUUGUGUAAGGGCUCAACAAUCAUCCAUCAGUAUCUGGUGCCGAGGGAGAUCAAGCUCACUGCUCUGCGACAGGGACGAAAAUCCGACUGGAGGCAGCAGUGGGGAAUUAUUUCCAGAGGACGAAAGCACUCGGAGCAACGCCGGUGAGGGCGAAGGCUAGUGGUCUGUAAACUUUCACAAGGAAAAAGUUAUGACGGUAAAAGAGGAAUAACACCCGGGAAAUUUCGUCCCUCAGGCGGGGUUAUUCGGGAAGGCCAGCCUUAUUCCGAAAAAAUGGGCGCAAAGGCUUCGCAGGCAGGUUUUCAAGUAUGCUGUUAAAAAGUGGAGCUUAACUUCAUCAUGGCAGUGGAAAUGAAAAAAGCUUAGGUGAGUAGGGCCGAAGGAAUUCCCGGGGGAGCGGUGAAAUCGUCAGAAAUCGGGAAGAACCCCACCGGGGAGGUGGUUGGUGGGGCGAUAUGACCUCAUGGACGAAAACAAGGGGGAGAGAUGGGAUUAGGUCCCCCACUAGUC
rnacentral:rRNA from 1 species